AUUUAAGUGUGUAUGUGUAAGUUUUAAAUUUACACCCUCCUGCUUGCCUUUUGUGGAGUCAACAAAAAGUGAGGGGACCAUGAUGGAGUUCAUAAAGAGGUCUGCACCAUAUCGGUGCAGACCAUAACACUCCCUUAGUAAAGUGAAAAGACUCAGAGCUAAGUAGGGAGAUCUUUUGAUCUCCCUGACGCCUCACUGUCAUAACCAGAGAUCAAGGCCCAGACAGGAACCUACCUAGGCUUUCUAAUGGGUAAUUCACUUCUGGUUUAUAUGGAAGAAAAAGGUCAAUUGUUUAUACUUGCCUCUCAGGUCAAAAGUUGCCAACUCUGGU